GUGGGGAAUAUUGGACAAUGGGCGAAAGCCUGAUCCAGCCAUGCCGCGUGUGUGAAGAAGGUCUUCGGAUUGUAAAGCACUUUAAGUUGGGAGGAAGGGUUGUAGAUUAAUACUCUGCAAUUUUGACGUUACCGACAGAAUAAGCACCGGCUAACUUCGUGCCAGCAGCCGCGGUAAUACGAAGGGUGCAAGCGUUAAUCGGAAUUACUGGGCGUAAAGCGCGCGUAGGUGGUUCGUUAAGUUGGAUGUGAAAGCCCCGGGCUCAACCUGGGAACUGCAUCCAAAACUGGCGAGCUAGAGUACGGUAGAGGGUGGUGGAAUUUCCUGUGUAGCGGUGAAAUGCGUAGAUAUAGGAAGGAACACCAGUGGCGAAGGCGACCACCUGGACUGAUACUGACACUGAGGUGCGAAAGCGUGGGGAGCAAACAGGAUUAGAUACCCCUGUAGUCC
rnacentral:rRNA from 1 species